UCGUAACAAGGUCUCCGUUGGUGAACCAGCGGAGGGAUCAUUACCGAGUUUACAACUCCCAAACCCCUGUGAACAUACCAAUUGUUGCCUCGGCGGAUCAGCCCGCUCCCGGUAAAACGGGACGGCCCGCCAGAGGACCCCUAAACUCUGUUUCUAUAUGUAACUUCUGAGUAAAACCAUAAAUAAAUCAAAACUUUCAACAACGGAUCUCUUGGUUCUGGCAUCGAUGAAGAACGCAGCAAAAUGCGAUAAGUAAUGUGAAUUGCAGAAUUCAGUGAAUCAUCGAAUCUUUGAACGCACAUUGCGCCCGCCAGUAUUCUGGCGGGCAUGCCUGUUCGAGCGUCAUUUCAACCCUCAAGCCCUCGGGUUUGGUGUUGGGGAUCGGCGAGCCCUUGCGGCAAGCCGGCCCCGAAAUAUAGUGGCGGUCUCGCUGCAGCUUCCAUUGCGUAGUAGUAAAACCCUCGCAACUGGUACGCGGCGCGGCCAAGCCGUUAAACCCCCAACUUCUGAAUGUUGACCUCGGAUCAGGUAGGAAUACCCGCUGAACUUAAGCAUAUC
rnacentral:misc_RNA from 1 species